CCUACGGGGGGCUGCAGUCGAGAAUAGUCUACAAUGGCCGAAAGGCUGAUAGUGCGACGCCGCGUGAACGAAGAAGCCCUUCGGGGUGUAAAGUUCUUUUAUAUGUGAGCAAUGCCUUUUAUGUGAAUAGCAUGAGAGGAGCGAUAUUAGCAUAUGAAUAAGCAACGGCUAACUCCGUGCCAGCAGCCGCGGUAACACGGGGGUUGCAAGCGUUGUCCGGAAUUACUAGGCGUAAAGGGCAGGUAGGCGGAUAGAUAAGUUUUUUGUCAAAGGCGACGGCUCACCCGUCGUAAGGCAGGAGAUACUGUUUAUCUGGAAUGCGGUUGGGGAAGACAGAAUUCCUGGUGUAGCGGUGGAAUGCGCAGAGAUCAGGAGGAAUACCGAAGGCGAAGGCAGUCUUCUAAGCCGUUAUUGACGCUAAACUGCGAAGGUGUGGGUAUCAAACAGGAUUAGAUACCCCGGUAGUC
rnacentral:rRNA from 1 species